CACUGCCCGCCGCCAUUUUGUCAAAGGAAGUGUGAGGUCGUGCGUCACCCGAAAGCCCAUUUCGGACUUGCCGGAGCAGCUCCCCCGCCCUCUCCCGGGACCGACUUCCGGUGGACGCCAUCUUGGUAAAGUAGGCGGCGCGGCGAAGGGGCGGGGAGGCCGCCGUCGUGGGUGAGGGCCGAAGGCUCCUCCCUGAGGUUCAGAUUAGUGGCGGCUUUGAUUUGUAGGUUCUCGGCUGUAGCCCCAGGCAAACUCCCUUUUCCGGCCGUCCAAGAAUAUCUUUCCUUAAUUUAAGACAACUGCGUCCCGAAGAACUCAAUUCCGAAAACCCAGAGGCUCGGGGCUCAGUGCUGUACUUCGACCAGAGCAGAAAUGAGAUCCUCUUAUGAGCGCUGCUAUUUUGAAUCCUACUUUCCAGAUGGAAAUCGAGAGGAAAUGGAGGCACAGGGAAGUCAAGUCUUGCAGCCCACUGCGUGGAAGAUCGAGGCAUGAGCCGGGUUGCCUGAUGACGGUGACCCAGGGCUUUCCAGCCUGCCAUUUCUGGGCCCAUGAACUUGGAUGGGGCAAAAAUAUGCCUUCCAGGUGACUCAGGUGUGGGACACCUGACCCUAGAGACUCUCACUCAGCUGCUUAUAAGAUCUAGGAGUGGGUGGCUGAGAAGUUUGGUGGAAAGGCUAACAUUUUAGGAGCCAAGGUCCACUUUGGUCUUCCCUCAGGGGUGAGGCAAGAACAAGGGGGCUGUCUCUGGCUCCUGUUGCCACUUGCUGUUGCCCCCACCCUAAUCCUCCCUGGAAACUGGGCAUGCAGAGGUGAAGACCUUAGGCUCUGUAUUCAGACCGCCCAGUUCACUUGCCACUUACUGCAUCCCUCAGGAUCUCGGUUUUCUCACCUGAAAAUGGGGUGAUCUCAGGCCUCCCCGGUGGCGCAGUGGUUGAGCGCUGGGUUGCGAAGCUGCCCGCAGCCUCUGCAGCGCUGGUUUGUU